rnacentral:rRNA from 1 species
GACGAACGCUGGCGGCGUGCUUAACACAUGCAAGUCGAGCGGAGCGGCGAACGGGUGAGUAACGCGUGAGUAACUGCCCCCCUCUCUGGGAUACCCGUUGGAAACGGCUGCUAAUCCCGGAUAGUGGGGGAUGACUCGCGUCCUAUCAGCUUGUUGGGUGGGUAGUGGCCUACCAAGGCGACGACGGGUAGCCGGCCUGCGAGGGAGACCGGCCACAUUGGGCUGAGGUACGGACAGAACGCCUACGGGGGGCAGCAGGGGGGAAUAGUGCACAAUGGGGGAAACCAGGAUGCAGCAACGCCGCGUGCGGGAUGACGGCCGUCGGGUUGUAAACCGCUUUCAGCCAUGACGCGGUAGUGGCAGAAGAAGCACCGGCUAACUACGUGCCAGCAGCCGCGGUAAUAC